rnacentral:tRNA from 1 species
GCCAGAGCUCAGUGGUAAAAGUGCGUGUUUGUCCCUGGUUCAAUUCCAGGUAUCUCCU